rnacentral:rRNA from 1 species
AGACGGCCCUAUGGGUUGUAAACUGCUUUUGUACCAGGAGAAAACCUUUCCCUGCGGGGAGAGCUGAUCGUACGGUGAGAAUAAGCAUCGGCUAACUUCGUGCCAGCAGCCGCGGUAAGACGAAGGAUGCAAGCGUUAUCCGGAUUCAUUGGGUUUAAAGGGAGCGUAGGCGGUCUAAUAAGUCAGUGGUGAAAUCUCUCGGCUUAACUGAGAAAUGGCCAUUGAUACUGUUGGACUUGAGUACAGAUGCCGUUGGCGGAAUAUGACAUGUAGUGGUGAAAUACAUAGAGAUGUCAUAGAACACCGAUUGCGAAGGCAGCUGACGAAACUGUAACUGACGCUGAGGCUCGAAAGUGUGGGGAUCAAACAGGAUUAGAUACCCUGGUAGUCCACACUGUAAACGAUGAUUACUCGCUGCUGAGGGGUGACCUUCAGUGGCUUAAGCGAAAGCCGAUAAGUAAUCCACCUGGGGAGUACGCCGGCCACGGUGAAACUCAAAGGAAUUGACGGG